GAGUUUUUUGUAGGAAACUCUAUGGUGUGGGCAUUCUUUCAGUCAAGGCGGCUCCGAGUCACUUGGGUAGACGCGGCUAGCGUCUGUCAGCGCCCCACAUCGUACAUGGUGUCAGAAGUGGUCGCCCUUCACUCUCUCUAAUGGCGAACAAGCCGGACGCUGUGUUUGCCGAGGUACCUGGACUCCAACAGCCAUCGAGCUUCGACUUCGCCGAUCCAAGUGCAUGGUCGCCCUGGAUUGAGCAGUUCGAGGAAUAUGCCUACGCUGCAGGAUUGCACCAAGCUACCGACGAGGUUCGGGCGUUGGUCCUAUUCAUCAGCUUGCAGUUCCGCACCCGGGCUCUACCUCCUUCCUCAGCUAUGCCUAACGACGUGACACAGCAAUAUGCUGCCUCGUCCACGGCUGCCACUUGUUCCGGCUAGCAGAGGCAGCGAGACGCUGCUAUAUUAAGUGACAUCGACUACCACGAUGUGGAGGAAUGGCUGUACUAUGACCGAGGCCUGCGAAGAUGAUGGAGCAGGACUGGCUGCUACCACCACGGGGGCGGGAGGCAUCACUACGGGACCACUGUGCGUGGGCUCGCAGGACUCCUCAGGCCUCUGUGACGAUGCCCCCACCUUCGUCACAUCGGCAUAACUGCGUCGCGAAAGAGGUACUCAAGGGACGAAUCCCCCAUUGGACCGGAGGCGACGAUGCCUCGCGAGGUGGUCCUGGACUGCCGCUGUCUUCAGGAUGAGCGGCGCGACGGCGAUCCGGCGCUGCUCAAGGAGCUCACCGAGGACGGCUACGGUCCGCGCGACCGCAUGGUCGGCUGGUCGUGCGCCUUCCUUGCGGCCGGAGCGUUUCUGCUCGCAGGCGGGGGCGUCAUGCUAGCGCUCUCACUCAAGCUCGAGCCCGAGGUGAACAGCUUGACUGACUACUACAACGUGCCCACCACACUGUUAGGCGCCGCACUUCUGGGCCUGGCUGCGGCAUUCUUUCUGCUGGCGCUCAUCAAAGGAUGCUGGCAUCGGCACUUGUGAGCGGUCACCUGAACGACUGGACUCCAAUCGUGGCUGAAAAGAUUUUGUUAGCCUGACAGCCUUGUGGCGUACGCCGUUCCACGGCACUCUUGUUCCAUCGCUCGUACUUGUCUGUCCACAGGCUGCUCACUCGAAGGACGGCAAUUCCAUGCCAUCUAUAUACACCAGAGAAAAAAAAGGUUGCUGACUAUACCGUGAAGGCUAUGGUAGCACCUUAAGACCUUCAGAACAACAAGAAGCAACAGCGAUUGGAACGCUUGGGUAUCUAGAAGCCUCCACAACAUGGAUUACACUGCCACGAAACUCUCAAGCAACCAGUUACAGUGGCUCUCUAAGAAAAAGGCUUCACAGUCGCGAGAGCAAGUACUGUAGUGAAAGCGCAAGAAAUGCUGCUGCUAACUUUGAGCGAAGAUACCAUCACUUUGGUCUCAGUGUGGGUUAUGUGAAGUGACUGAAAAGCUUGAACACUGCAAAUGAAGACUAAUGGUGACGUGGGUGUUUGUGUGUGUAUAUGCGUGGGGGCGUAUUUGCAUGGUGACAAACAGGCAAUUUCACCGAGAGGGCACCAACCCGUCCGAACAACUCGGGCUAUGUAUAGUGUCACAAGAAGUGGUGGCGGCUUCCUGCUGCUUUUCGUUUAAAGGACAACCUGUUUGCUAGUAAUUUUCAUUUUUCUGUCAUCUCAUCAGCAAUGGAAGUCCUGUGAAACUCAUUGCAGUGAUAAAUGUCAUUCAUAGCGUA